rnacentral:rRNA from 1 species
AGUGAACGCUGGCGGCAGGCCUAACACAUGCAAGUCGAACGGCAGCACAGGGGUAGCAAUACCCUGGGUGGCGAGUGGCGGACGGGUGAGGAAUACAUGGGUAACCUACCCUCGAGUGGGGAAUAACUAGCCGAAAGGUUAGCUAAUACCGCGUACGCUCCUUGGACUUCGGUUCAGGGAGGAAAGCGAUACCGUGGGUAUCGCGCUCUUGGAUGGGCUCAUGUCCUAUCAGCNGUUGGUGAGGUAACGGCUCACCAAGGCUUCGACGGGUAGCUGGUCUGAGAGGACGAUCAGCCACACUGGCACUGCGACACGGGCCAGACUCCUACGGGAGGCAGCAGUAAGGAAUAUUGCGCAAUGGGCGAAAGCCUGACGCAGCGACGCCGCGUGGGGGAUGAAGGUCUUCGGAUUGUAAACCCCUUUCGGGAGAGAGAUGGAACGAGCAAUCGUUCGGACGGUACCUCCAGAAGCAG